rnacentral:lncRNA from 1 species
GGGUGUUGUAGGGUGCUGUAGGGUGGCUACUUGUUCAGACUGUAAGGUGCUGUAGGUUCUUGGUUGUCAGACUAAGGUGCUGUAGGGUUCCUACUUGUUCAGACUGUAGGGUGCCUACUUGUUAAGAUUGUAGGGUCUUGUAGGUUGCCUACUUGUUAAGACAGGGGGUUGUAGGGUGCGGUAGGGUGCCUACUUGUUCAGACUGUAGGGUGCCUACUUGUUCAGACUGUAGGGUGCCUACUUGUUCAGACUGUAGGGUGUUGUAGGGUGCUGUAGGGUGGCUACUUGUUCAGACUGUAAGGGCUGUAGGGUUCCUACUUGUUGACAGUGGUGUCCUGGUGACCAGGGUGGUCAGGUAGAUGUCAUGAAGGACAGGCUGGUACACAGUCCUCCAUCACAGUGUAAUCAGUGUGACGCAGAGACUUGUUGAACUGUUGCACUAGCUUGGUGAAGUUGCCUGUCUGUAUGGAGAGAGGAGAGUAGAUCGGGGUUCAAACGCUAUUCGAAAUCUUUAAAAUAGCUUUAGCAUUUCCUUAGCCUGUGUUUUAAUUAUAUUGGUUCCAUUGCGCCAGGCAAGCUCAAGAAGACCAGAUUAAGUACUGAAAUUAUUUCAAAUAGUUUUUGAACCCAGGUCUGGAGAAGAGCGUGUUAAGUAGGUCAUGUUUGGAUGUUUGUCGCAAGUGUCAUUCACAAAACGGCGUCAAUCAUCACAAAAUGGCUAGCGGUGUCUAUCAUCACAAAAUGGCUGGCGGAGUCUAUCAUCACAAAAUGGCUAGCGGUGUCUAUCAUCACAAAAUGGCUGGCGGAGUCUAUCAUCACAAAAUGGCUGGCGGUGUCUAUCAUCACAAAAUGGCUGGCGGUGUCUAUCAUCACAAAAUGGCUGGCGGUGUCUAUCAUCACAAAAUGGCUAGCGGAGUCUAUCAUCACAAAAUGGCUGGCGGAGUCUAUCAUCUCAAAAUGGCUGGCGGAGUCUAUCAUCAGGGUGAUAAAGUCAAGAAUCAAGUCAACACCUGUUUGUGCAUCGGUAUCCCACAACGUAAACCAACCUUAGUCCUAACUAACAUUAGGGUCUCCUGAGUGGCGCAGCGGUCUAAUGCACUGCAUUAGUUCGAUUCCAGGCUGUAUCACAACCGUCUGUGAUUGGGAGUCCCAUAGGGCGGUGC